AGCUUGCUUCAUGGUGCAAUUUGUGAUUAGGAAGUCCCACAAAAGAUGCUCCAGCAACAGCAGCAGCAUCUAGGCUGAUGGAAGGACACAAACACGUGCCCAUCUUUGUACAGGUCCCAGCCUUGAGCAAAAUGCUGAGAUCCGGAUUUGUUUUUCUACUUUGUCUUGGGUCAUUCCUCCCUCCCCCUUGGUUCUCGAGGAUCAAAGAAGAUAGUUAAUAACUGCUUCAAUUCAUUAUUUAAAAAGUUACAAGGUGCUUGGACACGCCACCCUUUGGACCUCCAAUCAGAGAAGAGCAAACGCCUCUACACCAGCCACAACUUUAGGAGCUUUGCGGCAUCUGUCUGUACUGAGAUGAGACAGGCCUCCCUGGGACCUUGGAGGAGAACACAUGUCCAAGAGAGGGAGCCUCAGUGUCUUUUUCCAAGGUGAAGAGAUUGAGGCAGAUGGAGGUGAAAUGAUUCACUCACUGUCACAGCCUGGAAGAGGUCAAGUUCUAAUUCAUCUUAUAAAGAAGAACUGUAUAGUAAGAGAGGUAAUUAUGUAGAUUGCUAGACUUUGCCUGCAGCUCUGUAACGGGAACAAAUGCAUUCAUCUCUUCAAUAAAUGGGGCUCUCAGCUACUAGGCAUUUGUUUGGAAGGACAUUCAAGAUGUAAGGCACAUCAAGCAUGGGGCCCUUGAGCAUCUGUCUGAGUCAGCUUUGUAAAGGCAAAGCACUCAUUAAAGAAAUGGGUACUGAAGACAGCUGGAGGCAUAACUGUGCUUGGGGAGCUGCACUGAGGCAGGGGAGAGAAACUGCUCCUCUGUGACUACCCAGGGAUCCUCCGUGUCUGAGAGAAAUAACUGUGGAGUAGUUUCCUGGUUCUUUGAGAGAAAAGGUUGGACUCUCCCUGAUAAGUGAGACUGGUACUUUGCGCUAACCUCCAAAGGGCCAGGAGUGUCAAGUUCUCUGCCAGAGUGUCACUUGGUAGAGAUAACAGUACGUGCUAACAAUAAAUCUACAGUGUUCCUUCAUAAACUAGG